ACUCCUACGGGAGGCAGCAGUAGGGAAUAUUGGUUCAAUGGGCGAAAGCCUGAACCAGCCAUGCCGCGUGUCAGAUGAAGGUCCUCUGGAUUGUAAAUGACUUUUCUACGGGAAGAAUGAGCCGUCUGCGGACGGAAGUUGACGGUACCGUAGGAAUAAGCACCGGCUAACUACGUGCCAGCAGCCGCGGUAAUACGUAGGGGUGCAAGCGUUGUCCGGAUUUACUGGGGUUUAAAGGGUACGUAGGCGGUUGUGCCAAGUCUGGGGUGAAAGUUUGCAGCUCAACUGUAAAAUUGCCUUGGAUACUGGUCGGCUAGAGUAGUGGAGCGGUGGCUGGAAUUUAUAGUGUAGCGGUGAAAUGCUUAGAUACUAUGAGGAACACCAAUUGCGAAGGCAGGUCACUGGUCACUAACUGACGCUGAGGUACGAAAGUGUGGGGAUCAAACAGGAUUAGAUA
rnacentral:rRNA from 1 species